CUCCGUAGGUGAACCUGCGGAGGGAUCAUUACACAAAUAUGAAGGCGGGCUGGAACCUCUCGGGGGUUACAGCCUUGCUGAAUUAUUCACCCUUGUCUUUUGCGUACUUCUUGUUUCCUUGGUGGGUUCGCCCACCACUAGGACAAACAUAAACCUUUUGUAAUUGCAAUCAGCGUCAGUAACAAAUUAAUAAUUACAACUUUCAACAACGGAUCUCUUGGUUCUGGCAUCGAUGAAGAACGCAGCGAAAUGCGAUAAGUAGUGUGAAUUGCAGAAUUCAGUGAAUCAUCGAAUCUUUGAACGCACAUUGCGCCCUUUGGUAUUCCAAAGGGCAUGCCUGUUCGAGCGUCAUUUGUACCCUCAAGCUUUGCUUGGUGUUGGGCGUCUUGUCUCUAGCUUUGCUGGAGACUCGCCUUAAAGUAAUUGGCAGCCGGCCUACUGGUUUCGGAGCGCAGCACAAGUCGCACUCUCUAUCAGCAAAGGUCUAGCAUCCAUUAAGCCUUUUUUCAACUUUUGACCUCGGAUCAGGUAGGGAUACCCGCUGAACUUA
rnacentral:rRNA from 1 species